AGAGUUUGAUCAUGGCUCAGAUUGAACGCUGGCGGCAGGCCUAACACAUGCAAGUCGAACGGUAACAGGAAGCAGCUUGCUGCUUUGCUGACGAGUGGCGGACGGGUGAGUAAUGUCUGGGAAACUGCCUGAUGGAGGGGGAUAACUACUGGAAACGGUGGCUAAUACCGCAUAACGUCGCAAGACCAAAGAGGGGGACCUUCGGGCCUCUUGCCAUCAGAUGUGCCCAGAUGGGAUUAGCUAGUUGGUGAGGUAACGGCUCACCAAGGCGACGAUCCCUAGCUGGUCUGAGAGGAUGACCAGCCACACUGGAACUGAGACACGGUCCAGACUCCUACGGGAGGCAGCAGUGGGGAAUAUUGCACAAUGGGCGCAAGCCUGAUGCAGCCAUGCCGCGUGUAUGAAGAAGGCCUUCGGGUUGUAAAGUACUUUCAGCGGGGAGGAAGGUGUUGUGGUUAAUAACCACAGCAAUUGACGUUACCCGCAGAAGAAGCACCGGCUAACUCCGUGCCAGCAGCCGCGGUAAUACGGAGGGUGCAAGCGUUAAUCGGAAUUACUGGGCGUAAAGCGCACGCAGGCGGUCUGUCAAGUCGGAUGUGAAAUCCCCGGGCUCAACCUGGGAACUGCAUUCGAAACUGGCAGGCUUGAGUCUUGUAGAGGGGGGUAGAAUUCCAGGUGUAGCGGUGAAAUGCGUAGAGAUCUGGAGGAAUACCGGUGGCGAAGGCGGCCCCCUGGACAAAGACUGACGCUCAGGUGCGAAAGCGUGGGGAGCAAACAGGAUUAGAUACCCUGGUAGUCCACGCCGUAAACGAUGUCUACUUGGAGGUUGUGCCCUUGAGGCGUGGCUUCCGGAGCUAACGCGUUAAGUAGACCGCCUGGGGAGUACGGCCGCAAGGUUAAAACUCAAAUGAAUUGACGGGGGCCCGCACAAGCGGUGGAGCAUGUGGUUUAAUUCGAUGCAACGCGAAGAACCUUACCUGGUCUUGACAUCCACGGAAGUUUUCAGAGAUGAGAAUGUGCCUUCGGGAACCGUGAGACAGGUGCUGCAUGGCUGUCGUCAGCUCGUGUUGUGAAAUGUUGGGUUAAGUCCCGCAACGAGCGCAACCCUUAUCCUUUGUUGCCAGCGGUCCGGCCGGGAACUCAAAGGAGACUGCCAGUGAUAAACUGGAGGAAGGUGGGGAUGACGUCAAGUCAUCAUGGCCCUUACGACCAGGGCUACACACGUGCUACAAUGGCGCAUACAAAGAGAAGCGACCUCGCGAGAGCAAGCGGACCUCAUAAAGUGCGUCGUAGUCCGGAUUGGAGUCUGCAACUCGACUCCAUGAAGUCGGAAUCGCUAGUAAUCGUGGAUCAGAAUGCCACGGUGAAUACGUUCCCGGGCCUUGUACACACCGCCCGUCACACCAUGGGAGUGGGUUGCAAAAGAAGUAGGUAGCUUAACCUUCGGGAGGGCGCUUACCACUUUGUGAUUCAUGACUGGGGUGAAGUCGUAACAAGGUAACCGUAGGGGAACCUGCGGUUG
rnacentral:rRNA from 1 species